AAACAACUGCAGACACCUCCUCAGGUUAUCUGUUACCAGCGAUUUAUUCUCAUCCACAGCUGUUGAACUGACAAUACGUGAAAGGACAGUUAGCUUAAAUUGUUUGACAUGAUUGCUGUGGUCUCUAUAUUUUGUUUUCUUCACUUGCCAGAAAUGACGGGUGCAUCUGACACAAAAAGUGCCGACCAAACACCUCCAUCCAUCAUUAAGAGAAUUGGUGAAUCUGUUCAAAGUGAAAUCAAAUGUUCACACAGCAUACCAAGUUAUCAGGUCAUUCUCUGGUACAAGCAAGAUGAAAAAGGAGUCCUACAACUUCUGGGAUACCUAAAUCUGGAAUAUCCAAACAUUGAGGUUGAUGUGAAAGGGAAAAUCAGCUUUGAUGGAGAUGGCAAAAAAUAUUCAAACCUGACCAUUUCUAAUGUGUCAGUGACUGACAGUGCUGUGUAUUUCUGUGCUGCUAGUCAGCACGGUACUACAGAUUCCACUGAAGUCAAUACAAAAACCUCUCCUAAUGUCUCUGACAGAUUCAUAUCUGAACACCUGCUGCCAGUCUGCAACCAAAUCUAGACAUUGAAAAAAAUGACUGACUAACCGAUCAAGUUUGAUCCCUUUUGAAGUCACAUUUGAGGCUCAAUUUAAUCCUUAAGAUUUCCUUUAAGUGGUGAAAGCAGCAACAAAUUAAUUAUGUUCACUGAUAAAAUACUGACAUGCAAUUCCUAUAAUCAAGCUGGACCAGUUUCCUUGUCAAGAAUUUCAGGCAGGCAGAGAAAAUUUCAAAAAACAAUCCAAAAAAUACACCAUGUUCUAAAAUCCAUCUUCCUCAGUCAUCAUAUGUUGUUGUUAAUGGAAAUGAUGACCUGUGGGCGGACCAGCAGCGUCACAUAUACUUGCAUCUACAUCUGGAGUGACAAUUUCAUUGCGCAACACUCCCACCUCCAACUCUUCAUACAACUGUCUCAAACUGGUCAUGCCAAACAGAACGUGGACAUCUUCAUCAUGAGCAAACGACGUCUCCUCAUAUUUUCAUUCUUAUUGCUGUGGGUAUCAGGUCUAACUGAUGGGGGGGAAGUCAAGCAGACCGCCAUGCUGUGGAAAAACCAGGGUGAUAAUGUAUCUAUAGAAUGCAGUCAUACCUAUGGCAGUAGCUAUUACUAUAUGUACUGGUACAGACAGCUGCCUGGAGAACUAAUGAAACAAAUGGUGUUUACUAUUGCAAACUCCAAACCUGACUUUGAACCAGACUUCAGGGAUAAAAAAUUCUCAACCACCAAGCCUGACGCUGACAGUGGGACACUGAUAGUGAAGAAUUUGGUGCCAGGAGAUCAAGGCUUGUAUUUCUGUGCUGUUAGUAUGCACAGUGAUACAGCCACACUCAACACCCGUACAAAAACCUCAGAUCAUGAACUGUAGGGGGAUGUCAAGGAUCACAAAUACUCACAACUGAACAUGGAUUCAUCAUACCAAUUCAACUCAAACUGCUUAAUGUUUUGAAAGAAUUUAUUUCAACUUACAGUUAUUUUGUUCCAGGAAAUUCUGGAUUACCAAAAAUCUUUAAUGCUGUAGAAGUAGAAAUGAACAAAAUUUUAAAUUAUAACUUUUAUCGUUACAUACAGGACAAACCUAUGGAAGUGAUGUCAACCAGACCUCCAUGUUAUGGAAAAAAGAGAAUGAAGAUGCAACUAUACACUGCAGCCAUACCAAGGGCAGCAGCUAUUACCAGAUGUACUGGUACAGACAGCUGCCUGGAGAACUAAUGAAACAAAUGGUGUUUGUGUGCUGUCAGUGAGCACAGUGAUAGAGCCACACUCAACACCUUUACAAAAACUCCAGAUCAUGAACUGUAGGGGGAUGUCAAGGACCAC
ensembl:lncRNA